rnacentral:rRNA from 1 species
UGAGGAAUAUUGGUCAAUGGGCGGGAGCCUGAACCAGCCAAGCCGCGUGGAGGAAGAAGGUACAGAGUAUCGUAAACUCCUUUUGUCAGGGGAUAAAAGGCGCCACGAGUGGCGUUCUGAAGGUACCUGAAGAAAAAGCAUCGGCUAACUCCGUGCCAGCAGCCGCGGUAAUACGGAGGAUGCGAGCGUUAUCCGGAUUUAUUGGGUUUAAAGGGUGCGUAGGCGGUCUUUUAAGUCAGCGGUGAAAGCCCGGGGCUCAACCCCGGCGAGCCGUUGAUACUGGGAGACUGGAGAGGAAGAGAGGCAUGCGGAAUUCGCGGUGUAGCGGUGGAAUGCUUAGAUAUCGCGAAGAACUCCGAUUGCGAAGGCAGCAUGCGGCUUCUGUCUGACGCUGAGGCACGAAAGCGUGGGGAUCGAACAGGAUUAGAUACCC